GGGAGCAGAGUUGAAGUUACAAUUGAGAUUAGAGAAUUGGGGCCCUGUGAAGGGCACCCGGGCUAUUUUUCCUGCCCUGCGUUACACAGCUAGGAGGAGGUGAGCAGGGCAGUAUCAAGGCCUGGUCUGUGUUGCUCCAAGGAGCAUGAAAAGGACAGAGGGCCUGGUGUAGGAAGCGUGGUUUCCACAGGAUCCUUGCUGCCUUCAGAUUCCUCCCGGCAGCCAGGGAGCUGGGUAAGGCGGAGGCUAUUCAGCUGCCAUCUGUCCUCCUGGCUCCAGUGCCUGGCAACUGGCUGCCCGGGUCUGCUCUCUGCUCUGGAGGAGGAGGCAUUCCUCCACGGCCCAUCAGGCAGGAUGAGGAGCUGUGCCCUCGCCAGGGCCGCACCACAUGAUGGAUUCGAUGAUUAUGCCUUUCUGAUGUGGGGGCUGCUCAGUCGUGUAGCAGAACCAGUCCCAUCUGCUGUGUUUCUUCAAAGAGCUGCUGGAAGGAAAUAUCUGCACUCUGCUCAUGCUGGGGCUGGAGGUGGAAAGGAGGAUGGAAGUGAGGCCAGAUGGACAUAAAGACCGUGGGUCCAGCUCAGGGCAGCAGCUCCUAUUUGUGGAAGUGAUGCAAACGACAGGCCCUUCUCUGCGCCAUUUGCCCCCCUUGGCAUCCCUUACUGGAAGACAUGGCUGCCGCCUGCUGUGGCCCUCUGCCCGAGGUUUUUCCCUUGAAGAGGCUUCCUGUGCCUGAAGCUGCCCUGCGACAAGCAGUAGAGAGUUUAUAGCAGCUUUCGCCACCACUCCCCCUUCUCAGAAGAGAGACAAAGAGGAGGCAGUGGGUGAUCUGGGGGCUCUUGGAGCCGGUGGAAGUUGGAAGUCCCUACGUGGAGCUCUCCUUGACCAGGAUGAUGAGGACCAUCCUGCCUGUCCCCCCGGAUGCGGUCUGACUAUGUUGCCCAGGCUGGUCUCAAACUCCCAGGAUCAAGGAAUCCUCCUGCCCCAGCCUUCCCAGCACCUGGGACUACAGGCACAUCCACCAAGCCAGCCUCUGUGGGGAUAUCUUUCCUGAAGUCAUCUGUGCCCUGCAAUCCAGCUGAGUGCUUCUCUGGGACAGCUGUACAGCUCCCAUCCUGAGAGCUCCCUUUGCACUCAGGGACCAACAAGCGCCUUUAUGUUUCUCCUUUGUUGCAAUCCUUCUGUCCUGGACCAUGGUUUUUUUCUCCUUCUUAAUUGGCUUCCUCCUUGUAGUGAAGCAUAAUUUUCAAGAGAUACUUGAGGAAGGGCCUAUAGGAGAUACACAAACUGAAAACCUGCACUGGGGAAAAUGUCUGUAGUCCAACUGCCCUUUGGUGGAUAGUUUUGUGGUACACAAUCUUAGAAAACUAUGGGGGCGGGGAUUUAGCUCAUUGGUUUUGCCGCCUGCCACGCAAGCGCAAGGGCCAGAGUUCGAUCCCCACUACCAAAAAAACCCAAAAAACCAGAAAACUAUGUCCCUCAGGAUUUAGCAUAUAUUGAUCUAUUGUCUUCCAGCUUCCACUCUUAUGGAUAAAAAACUUAAGUCUGUUUUGAUUUCCUUUUCUUUGCAAAUGACCUGUUUUGUUCUCUCUAGAAGCUUGAAGUCCUUUUGCUCUUUUUUUUUUCUUUCUUUUCUUUUAAUCACUAGUGUUUUGAAAUUUCACAAAGAUGUGGCUUUGUAGGAUCCUUUCCUGUUCAUUGUUAUGGAUGAUCUCAAGGAUAUCUUUUCUCAUUAGGUUUUUUUUUUUGAAACACAAUCUCACAAUAUAGCUCAGGAUACCCUUCAACUCACUAUGUAGCCCAGACUCGCCUCAAAUUCAUAGUGAUCCUUCUGCCUCAGCCUCCCAGUUCUGGGAUCAUAGGCAUGUGCCACUAGGAAAUUUUCUAGUAUUCAUUCUUUGCUUAUUUUUCCCCCUCCAUAGUCUCCUGACUCCCCCUCCUUUUCAUUCUCCUCUUCCUUUUCUGCUUCCUCUUAUUCCUUCCCUUCUUCAUCUUCAUUUUUCUCUUCCUCUUCCUUCCCCUUCCUCUCUUUGGUCUCCUUCCUCUUUCUCUUCUGCUUCUUUUUUUGAGAUGGAAACCUCACUGUGCUGCCCAGGCUGGCCUAGAUUUGCAAUCCUCCUGCCUGAAUAUCCCAAGUAGCUGGGUCACAGACAUGUUCCACUUCAAUGGCUCUGCUCUUAUUUAUCUGAUAAUCCUAUUAGUUAUGUGUUGAAACUGUACAACUGGUCUCUGAAUUUUCUUUUUUUCUCUCCCUUUUCCCUACUCUUUGUCUUUUUGUUCUAUUUUAUGAGAGAUGGGCAUAACUUUAUCUUCAACCAUCAUAUUGAAUUUAAGCAAGCAUUCUUUUCAAUUAUUUUUUACUCUUAAAAUCAC
ensembl:lncRNA